UACAGAGGUCUCAAGCGUUGUUCGGAUUCAUUGGGCGUAAAGGGUGCGUAGGCGGCGCGGUAAGUCGGGUGUGAAAUCUCGGAGCUUAACUCCGAAACUGCAUUCGAUACUGCCGUGCUUGAGGACUGGAGAGGAGACUGGAAUUUACGGUGUAGCGGUGAAAUGCGUAGAUAUCGUAAGGAAGACCAGUGGCGAAGGCGAAUCCCUGGACAGUUACUGACACUGAGGCACGAAGGCCAGGGGAGCAAACGGG
rnacentral:rRNA from 1 species